rnacentral:rRNA from 1 species
UACGUAGGCAGCAAGCGUUGUUCGGAGUUACUGGGCGUAAAGGGUGUGUAGGCGGUUAUUUAAGUUUGGUGUGAAAUCUCCCGGCUCAACCGGGAGGGUGCGCCGAAUACUGAAUGACUUGGAGUGCGGGAGAGGAAAGUGGAAUUCCUGGUGUAGCGGUGGAAUGCGCAGAUAUCAGGAGGAACACCAAUAGCGAAGGCAGCUCGCUGGGACGUUACUGACACUGAGGCGCGAAAGCGUGGGGAGCGAACAGG